rnacentral:lncRNA from 1 species
AAGCACUCCUUUCAAAGGAAAGUCCAAAAUGAUUCAAACGGUUCUGGAAUGUGGAUACAGAUUCAUGAAAUUAGGACUCACCAUCAACACUACCCCCUGCAUCCUGACAAGUAAGCCUUGUCAUGGUCAUCGGGAAAGCCAUUUGUACUCCACGUUGUGCUACUAUGG